rnacentral:rRNA from 1 species
GACGAACGCUGGCGGCGUGCUUAACACAUGCAAGUCGAACGGUGAAGCGCCUUCCUUUUUGGUGGGUGUGGAUGAGUGGCGAACGGGUGAGUAACACGUGAGUAACCUGCCCCCUUCUUCUGGAUAACCGCAUGAAAGUGUGGCUAAUACGGGAUAUUCUGGGUCUGUCGCAUGAUGGGUCUGGGAAAGAUAUUGUUUCGGUGGGGGAUGGGCUCGCGGCCUAUCAGCUUGUUGGUGGGGUGAUGGCCUACCAAGGCGGUGACGGGUAGCCGGCCUGAGAGGGUGGACGGUCACACUGGGACUGAGACGCGGCCCCGACUCCUACGGGAGGCAGCAGUGGGGAAUAUUGCACAAUGGGCGCAAGCCUGAUGCAGCGACGCCGCGUGAGGGAUGGAGGCCUUCGGGUUGUGAACCUCUUUCGCCAGUGAAGCAGGCCUGCCUCGUUUGUGGGUGGGUUGACGGUAGCUGGAUAAGAAGCGCCGGCUAACUACGUG